rnacentral:rRNA from 1 species
UACGUAGGAGACGAGCGUUGUCCGGAGUUACUGGGCGUAAAGGGUGCGCAGGUGGCGGCGCGCGUGGGGGGCGAAAUCUCCCGGCUUAACUGGGAGGGUGCGCCGAAAACUGGAGUGCUCGAGCGUGGGAGAGGAAAGCGGAAUUCCUGGUGUAGCGGUGAAAUGCGUAGAUAUCAGGAGGAACACCAGCGGUGUAGACGGCUUUCUGGACCAUUGCUGACGCUGAGACACGAAAGCGUGGGGAUCAAACAGG